rnacentral:lncRNA from 1 species
GACCUCAGAUCACUCAUCUGUAAAAUGAGGGGGUUGGACAAGAAGAGUGACUUCCAAACCUUUAAUUUUUUUUGUCCUGAAAUCUGUUCUUUCUGCAAAGCCUAACUGGGCCACCUCUCCCCCUACAAUAAGUUAAAACAAACUUGGAAAAAAGAUGAGGUGGGGAGAGGCAGCGAGCCUGGCCAACAUGGUGAAACCCUAUUUCUACCAAAAAUACAAAAUUAGCCGGGCGUGGUGGUGCAUGCCUGUAAUCCCAGCUACUCAGGAGGCUGAGGCUGGAGAAUAGCUUGAAACGAGGAGGUGGAGGUUGCAGUGAGCCAAGAUCGUGCCAUUGCACUGCAGCCUGGGUGACAAGAGUGAAACUCCGUCUCAAAAAUAAAUAAAUAAAUAAAAUUAAAAAAAUUAAAAAGCAACAUUCCUCCAUUCCUCAGCAAUUUAGUGUCCUAAGCCGGCAUAUUGGUUAAGACUACGAUGUGGCAGAGACCACUAGGGGUCUCCCAAUUUCACUCUCCUUUUCACAUAGCCUGUUGGAAUAAAAAUGACAUCUUCUAGCUUCUCCCACAACUGGGUGUGGCCUUGUGACAAGUUCUGGCCAAUAGGAUGUAAGGGA